CAGUGGCGAAAGGGUGAGUAACGCGUGAGUAACCUACCUUUAAGUUGGAAAUAGCUCCGAGAAAUCGGAAUUAAUGUCGAAUGUGAACAGUUUUUCGCAUGGAAUUCUGUUUAAAGAUUUUUCGCUUAUUGAGGGGCUCGCGUCCCAUUAGCUAGUUGGUAAGGUAACGGCUUACCAAGGCCAAGAUGGGUAGCUGGUCUGAGAGGAUGAUCAGCCACACUGGGACUGAGACACUGCCCAGACUCCUACGGGAGGCUGCAGUCGAGAAUCUUCCGCAAUGCGCGAAAGCGUGACGGAGCGAUGCCGCGUGCAGGAUGAAGGCCCUUGGGUUGUAAACUGCUGUCACUCGGGACGAAGAUCUGACGGUACCGAGAGGGGAAGCCACGGCUAACUACGUGCCAGCAGCCGCGGUAAUACGUAGGUGGCGAGCGUUGUUCGGAUUUAUUGGGCGUAAAGGGUCCGCAGGGGGUUUAUUAAGUCUGAUGUGAAAUCCCACGGCUCAACCGUGGAACUGCAUUGGAAACUGAUAGACUAGAGUAUCGCAGAGGAAAGCGGAAUUCCUGGUGUAGCGGUGGAAUGCGUAGAUCUCAGGAAGAACAUCGAGAGCGAAGGCAGCUUUCUAGGCGAUUACUGACCCUCAGGGACGAAAGCGUGGGUAGCGAACAGGAUUAGAUAUCCUGGUAGUCCACGCCGUANACGCUGUGAACUUGAUGUGGGAGGAUUUAGACCCUUCUGUGUCGGAGCUAACGCGAUAA
rnacentral:rRNA from 1 species